CUGCACUGCGAAAAGAGACCUGUUCCCUUCAUUAUCGCCACCUCUACUUCCCUUCCUUCCAUCCCCAACCACAGAAUUAACCCCACCGCCAUGUAAUCUCUGAGUAUACCUCCAAUCCUCCUUUGAUAACAAAGGAGGCGGCAGUCUUGGAUUCAAGUUCACGUUAGAGUAGUAAUAAUUAACAUACGCUGGAUCAGACCUUAUC
rnacentral:misc_RNA from 1 species